rnacentral:rRNA from 1 species
UACGGAGGAUCCGAGUGUUAUCCGGAUUUAUUGGGUUUAAAGGGUGCGCAGGCGGGAGAUUAAGUCGGCGGUGAAAUUUUGCAGCUCAACUGUAAAAGUGCCUUCGAAACUGGUUUCCUUGAGUGUGGAUGAAGUAGGCGGAAUUUGUGGUGUAGCGGUGAAAUGCAUAGAUAUCACGAGGAACUCCGAUUGCGCAGGCAGCUUACUAAACCAUAACUGACGCUCAGGCACAAAGGCGUGGGGAUCAAACAGGAUUAGAUACCCUGGUA